ensembl:lncRNA
UAAGCCCUGUGGGAAAGGGGUUAUUAAUACACCCCACUGUGCCCUGAUGGAAGAAUUAUCCCAGAUUUUCCUCCAUUUCUGUGAUGUGAUACUGGGAUAUGGAAACAGCUGAGGACUAGACAGAUUUUUCUGUGGGUUAAAGAAAGGAAGGCCCUAAAAAUGAAAUGUAGGCUGCAACUAUAAAUACGUACAGUGCAGCACAGAAACAUGUUUUGUCUCACUGUGCUUUGUGGGGAAAAAGUGGAUAGAUUUGCAAUAUGCUUCCCCCUCCCCCCAUAUUUCCUAACAUCCUAGCUUUUCAUAUUCUCAGGACAGGUCACUUAACUAAAACUAUAAGAUAGAAAUCCUGGUGCUGCAUGUCCCUUGAUCAGUUAUCCCAGGUUGUGCCACACUUCCAGGUGGCUGUAUGAUGAAAAUGCAGAUUCAAUUCAGAAAUAAAUAUUACACAUUGUGAACCAAUCUUAGUUGUUAGUUUUUUAAAAACUGACUGCUCUCUGUUAAGUGGCUGAAGUCUUCUGAGCAGCUUGGGAUAUGCUGCUUUUUAAUAUGCAUAAAUUGUGUUACAAAAUGUGUCUCAGGGCAGCCUCAAUGCUUCAAAGGACCUGCAGAAGGAAUUUGCCACCAUUGAAAAGAAGAAGGAAGAACUUGCUGAUUAUCUUUGUGAAGACCAAAAAAAAUUGUCUUUGGAAGAUGUAUUCAGCACAAUGAAAACCUUCAGAGAGAUCUUCCUCAAGACAUUACAGGAAAAUCAAGAAAGGAAGGAGCAAGCUGCAAAAUCUGAGAAAAGGAAGAAACAGUUUAAAGAAGAAGAUGCAAAGCGGCUAAAGGGAGAGUAUGGAGAGUGUAGUACAUUUAAGAAUUCUGUUUUUAUUAGCCAAUCUUUUGUUAAUUAGAAGGAAUUUAUCUGUUAACUCUGGCUGAUCUGAUACAAUGAAAGUGACUUAGCCAUGGAUGAUGUAGUUGUCAAGCAGAUGCAUAGUGAGACAUCAAUUACCAAAUUUCAAGUGCAAGUGAAUGCUUGGAAGAAAUCAUGAUAGGGAUAUUAGAACAAAAAUACCACUCCCAACGAGCAAGUUUCUUCUACUUCACUCAGAGGUGGAAGAUAGCCUGCUAUUCUCCAUAAUAUCUGUUGGGAGACUUUUAGGGUUAUAGAAAUCUGGACACACUUGAACUUCAUGCAGCAUGGUAGGCAAAUUGUGUCCAGUGGUAAUUGUUACCACAACAUUUUCUUUCUUCUGAUCAGAGAUCUGAUUCCUUAAAGGAGUUAUGCCUGUGCUCAAAGAAGUGUGUGUGCUGAGUGAUGCAGAAAAGGACUUGCUGUGCUGGACCUCUCUGGGUGUGAAGCAUGUAUAGUGCUAAUAUUGGCAUGUGUAUAUUUUAAAUUUUUAUUUUGGCAAAUACUUGGGAUCCACUUUUAUUGAAGAUUUCUGCCAAUAACAUUUGGUUGCAAUUCUUGGUUGUUCAGAGUACCACCACAAAGAAGCCAUUAGUAAAUCUGAGUGGGGUUCAUGUAACUUGGAAGACUGUUUUUUCUUGUAUCUGGUGUCUAAACAUAUGGCCUUCUUUUAGUUCCUCUUUCAAGUUAUUCACUUUUAGAAAUACAUUUUUAAAAUACAUAAAAUCCAUUGAAAACUGACCAAAACAAAGUUUCCAAUGUUGUCUUGUCAAGUUCUACCACAAAUAUAUUUUACACACUUUGCAAUCAUAGCACACUUAAUGUAAAGCUACAGAUUAAAACAAGAAAAACCUUUCUGCUAUAAAUAGAAAAGAGUAACCUAGUAUAUGAUAAAAUAAAAUUAGGAAGCAACAUUUAUCA